CUCUCUUACAGUGCAACAUAAACAAGAGGACAGAAACCAAUUUAGACACUGUUCACCUUUCUUUUUUUUUUACCGACACGGACAGCACCAAGGGAGACAUGGUUUCUCCGGUAACAGUGGUCAAGAGCGAAGGCCCUAAACUGGUGCCGUUCUUCAAAGCGACCUGCGUGUACUUUGUCCUGUGGCUGCCCACCUCGAGCCCGUCCUGGUUCAGCGCCCUCAUCAAAUGUCUGCCCAUCUUCUGCCUGUGGGUGUUCCUGCUGGCCCACGGCUUCAGCUUCCUCGGCGCUCACUCCAGUGCCCGCAAGAUCUUGGCUGGUCUCAUCUUUUCUGCGCUGGGUGAUGCCUUUCUGAUCUGGCAGGAGCAGGGCUACUUCGUCCACGGCCUUCUGAUGUUCGCCAUCACCCACAUCCUCUACUCCUCUGCCUUCGGGAUGAAGCCCCUCAACAUGCGAGCCGGCCUGGUGAUCGCCGCCGUGUCCUCUCUGAGCUACAUGCUGCUGUACCCCUACCUGUCCGGCCCCUUCACCUACCUGGUGGCCGUCUACAUCGCCCUGAUCGGCUUCAUGGCUUGGAGGGCCGUCGCCGGCUUGCAGCUGGCCAACGACCUGUGGACCUGGACCAAGCUGUCGGCCUGCCUCGGCGCCGUGCUCUUCAUGGUGUCCGACCUCACCAUCGCCGUCAACAAGUUCUGCUUCCCCGUGCCCCACUCGCGGGCCAUCAUCAUGGCCACCUACUACGCCGCCCAGAUGCUCAUAGCGCUGUCUGCCGUCGAGUGCCAGGACGUGGAGGUGGCCCGGAAGAGGACAUGAGGCACGGCGGUCUCCAGAGCGCGCGAGGCUGGGAUGGUGGCUCCCCCUCCGGCCCGGAGUGAUCGUGGACACGUCUCACUGCCAGAUCCCCAACCCGCAGCCUUCAUCUCAGUGUGGCGCUCCCACACCGUCGUCACCACGGCGACGGGCCCCCCGCAGUUUUUACGCCGCUAUCACCCACUAGCAUGGUAGCGUCACGCGUGACGACCCUGACAACAGUCCUACCUGCCUCCUCCAAAACCUAGAACAGCUGUCUCCCGACCUAGUUACCAUGGAGACGAGCGUAGAGAUAUUAACCUGCUACGUAGAGAGGAUUAACUUAGUUUUACUGCUAUGUUUUAAUUUAACGGGAGCAUGUCACUGGUCACCUUUUAAGGGGUGUGUAUGGGAGAGCGAUGUUGUGUGUGUGUGUAUGUGUUUCUGAGUGUGAGUGAGAGUGCUGCCUUCGUCUUAACUGUUGCGUGAACGUGUGCUUGUGACAAGUCAGAACCAACUCGAGGCCAGAAAUGCUGUGAACCGUUUAUAUGGAGUAGACACACUACUGGAUGUUUCAUGUACUCUCACGAGGCUCUUAAACCCGUCUUCAUCCCUCCCCCUUUUUGUUUUGCAUGUAUUGUUAAUUAGGAAAAACCUUUAAGUUGGUGUUUGAUCCCAAACUUUGGGAGAUCUUCACUUUAACGGGGAUCAUUUCAUGCCCAGUAUAUGUCGGUGGCAUUACGGCUAAUACCACUAAGAGUUUAUUUUUAAGGAAGGAUUAUUACAAAAGUAUCGUAGGAAUUGAAAGUAUUAAUCACUAUGAAAAAUCAGCAAAGGGAGAGAUAUUGUUGUGUAAUAGUUGAAUCUAGAAACACCCAAAUAUCAGGUAUGCUGUAUCCUGUAUCUGUUUAUACAAUAGAGACGCAUGGAAAAGAAACAAACCCUUGUUAUGGGUACCUCCUGCUGGGUCAGCGACCCCUAGAGCUGUCGGUAACGCACCCUUAUACGCACAAGAAAGAAAAACACACACACAUCAAAACGUGUUUAUGCACCACACCGGCCACCAUGACGGAUCUGCAGGCGGACCGUGGUGUUGACACCAACAGCUCAGUUCAUGCUUUGACCAAGAAAGACGCUCGGCCCAAGUGGCUGUUCUCGACUCCUGCUUUGCCGGAUAGUUCCUCAAUCUCCUUUCAUCCUGUCAGCACAAUCUUUCUGCUUUGUCAGUCAGAAGUGUUUCAUCAGUCUGGCUGCUCGUCUUCUGCUCCGUGUUUUAAUUUGUCCUCCCAGUAUCGCGGCGGCGGCGUCGCCCUCCUCUCAUCUUCUCAUCCACCUCACCGGUGGCCAGCGAUUAAUAUUAGUCUUUGCGCUGACAGGCUUUGCUCGCAGACAUUUGUGUUUAUUCUGUCUUAAAUCAGGGGUUAGCAGAGAUGCUAGUUAGCACAGCUGACUCUAGCACGCAGCCUCGAGUACAACUAUGAGGGGAAGGCAAGAUUGAGUCAAGCAGUCUUACUCAUCCGUACUAUGUGGGCAAUUUAUGUAAGCACUACUUACUUUGUCCUCUGCCGCACAAAGCCUGCUGACUUUUGUUCCUACAGUUGUAGUGGGUCCACACCAGGAGACAUGCUUUAUUUAGAAGUGUUUUUUUUUUUGUUUUGUUGGCCAGUUCACACUCCGAAAAGUCACUAUGAUGCUAGUUAUUGUGCCUAUCUGGAGGACUUAGUUCUAAUUACCUCCUCCAAAAGGGCACAAAUAACCAAAGCUUAAGGCACAAUAGAAAACUGAACUCAUUUAGUUGGAGGCCUCUCGUGUAUCAGACGACCUAUUGUUUUUGGAGGUGACGGUCGCCUCCUCGCUGGUGCAGGAUUGCUUCUGGCCUUCCAGUUAGGAAGGAGGUUAUUGUUGAGCGAUACUGUAGCUGGAAUUAGGUUAGGAGGUGAAAUAUGACACACAGGGGAAGACUCUCUUUCCAUCCGGCCCUGUUAGCUACCAUCCUGUUCCCCCCCCUACAGAUGGCCGGCCAGCGGGCGCAUCACUUUACCUCAGCCUGUCAACAGCCCUGUUGUUCUGAGCUUUGUGUGUGCAGACAAAAGGGACCUGAGAGGGCUGUGGGAGGCCAGCACGGUCCGGCCUCCGCUGCUGGUGUUGAGCUGGAACCAGCAGCUAGAAAGAGAGCCUGUGGUCCUCUGAAGAAGUUGGCACUUUUCUUCGAUUUAAACUUUUUUUUUCUUUGAUUUGAAACCUUUGCUGUUGAUGCGCUGUGGAUCACGCAGCCGCCACAUUCGAACCACAGAGCUGUAAAGUUUGUAUAUUUUUACUCGUGCAUGACAAGUAGGUUGAAAUGAAUCCUCCACACCUUAACCGUCACUAUACGCCCGGGUGUUGUUGUUACUGCAGCUGACGGUCCUGCAUCGUUAGAACGAGCUAACGAGAAGCAUGUAACCGUCUUCUCUUUUGUUGUGUUCAAUCGACCGUGUGCUGCACUUUUCUGUACCCGGGGUAAGGCCAGUCAGUCUCUCUUUUAAACUUACAGUGUUUAAAACCAAGGAUUGUUGUGUACUGUAUCCUCUGAAGUAUAUGCUCCUUUUUUUUCUUGAUUUUUUGUUUUCCUUGAAGAGAGAGAAAGUUUUGAAAGUGACAAAUCAAACGUGUGAGAAUCAGCAUUUUUCCUUUAAAAUGCGUUCUUGAAGUGUUACCGACCUGUAUGUAUAAAUCUUUCUUAAAAGUGUUAUCUGAAAGCCCCAUUUUAAUUAUUUUUUCACAUGUCAACUGUGGGAAAAGCCAAGUUUGUUCCCCACAAAUAACUUUAUUUUUUUUUGAAAGCCCGUCACAAUGCAUCGUUUUGACUUCCUUUUAUGACAUUUUUUUUUUAAAAUCUUUUUUUAAAUUCUAUAAUAUACUCUAGGCGACCUUGUUGUCCUCGAUUUCCACUUUGUGAUUUAUUUCUUUCAUGACUGUAGAGAUGAAAUAGUUUCUUUGCUGUAGUGAAACUGCUAUGAAUGUGAAUAUCUAUUGGAGAAAUAAAUGCAAUUACAAUGCAACUUCAA